rnacentral:hammerhead_ribozyme from 1 species
AUCCAGCUGACGAGUUCCAAACAGAACGAAAUGCGUGUCCUGGAC